rnacentral:lncRNA from 1 species
CGCGUCACCAUAUAUUUGUACACCAAGAGUGAACCCUAAUGUAAACUAUGGACUUUGGGUGAUAACGAAGUAUCAGGGUAGGCUCACUGAGUGUAACGAAUGUACCACCCUGGCAGGGGCAUGUUGAUAAUGGGGCAGGCUACACAUGGGUGGGGGGUGCUUUAAGGGAAACCUCUGCACUUUACUUUCAAUUUUGCUGUGAACCUAAAGUUGCUCUAAAAAAUAAAGUCCAAAAAAAAAAAAAACAACUCGGAGGAUCCGGUAUCUUUUUUCAGUUGUAUUGAUUAGGGCCAUUUUCAUCUUAAUUAACGUGGUGCUUUCACUGUGAGGAUUCCGAAGAAUGAAACAGCAACGUGGAAUGGUCUCACAAAAGCAAAUCUUACCAAGUAGUCAAAUAAAAUCACUCCCUAUGUGAAAAUACACGUUAGGCUGGAUAAUGUUGGAACCCCCUUCCCGGUGAAGAAAAACAGAACAAGUUUGAAAGAAUAGUAAACUUAAUUCUAAAGUGGAGAUUUUUAUUUUUUGCUGGAAUAAAAACACUUUAGGGGGGUAGUGGGUACAAGAAAAAGUGCCGCGACUCAAGUGUACAACCUGGGACAACUUCGCCUCCCUCCUUACCUGAACUAAAAGUAAUGUCACACAUGUUAAGGCUUAUAUUCUUAAGUCACACAGGCCCAACUACUUGGGGGAUUAGCUGUCACUUCAUAUCCUCUUCAAGAGUGGUGCUACCGACUAGGAAGGCCAAGGGCCGAAGAAAGUCACCUUGGCACCCACGCCUCAAAGGAGCAGUUUGGGUUUCUCAGGAGGUGCCACCUGGACAUCCUGGGAAUAUGGUUAUCCUGCGUUUUGACUUCUUUUGAGCACUUGAAGCCUACACUUAGGUGUAAGGGACAGAACCGUCUGAUGAAGACACAGGCCACCUGAUUUUCUCCUAGAAAGCAGGGCCCAAGUGGACUAUUUCAAACUGGCUACACAUCUCUGCAAUUUAAAAUUUUCCUACUGCUAUCUCUUCACGGAGUCUCAAAAGCAGUUUUCAGGCAAGGCAAACGUAUUCGAGAAAGUUCAGGCGCAGGGUGUUGUUCUGAGAUUUCCUUUUCUUGGGAAGGGAAAGGGGGUCGCGGAGCGUCUUUCUGACCACCAGGGGAAAGUCUUCCACAAAUGUCAUCCGGCUGGGGGCAACCUAUGGACUUUGGGAAGUCAGUUGGGACAGUCACGAGCCACCACCUCUGACCUCUCGGGACCUGCUCGACUGGAGCCCGGGAGGAGGACAGCGCGGGCUUCCCCGCGGGGCAGAGGCCGCCCCCUCCCGGCAGGGGAGCAGCGCCAGCGCCGUCGGACGUGCGGACCCGCCGGGGUCCCGGCAGCCGCAGCAGCGCCCCCGGGAGAGGCUCAGACCUCGCUUGGGGCAACCGGCAAAAUGCACCAAGAAGGUCGGAAUCACGGGUAAAUACAGGACCCGUUAUGGUGCCUCCCUCAGGAAAUGGUGAUGAAGAUUGAAAUAAGCCAGCGUGACAAGUACACUUGCUCCUUCUGUGGCAAAACCAAGAUGAAAGAUGAGCUGUCGGCAUCUGGCAUGAAAACCAUAGCUGGUGGCACCUGCUAUGGUUACAUAUCCACAACCUGCAAUGGUUACAUACCUGCAACUACACCACCAUUUCUGCCCUCACAUUGAAGUCUGCCAUCAGAAGACUGGAGGAGAUGAAAGACCAGUAGAAGCUCCACCAUUUGAAACAUUGCUAGUCUAUAAUAAAUGGGUUAAUUUAUGUAAUUAAAAAAAAAGA